rnacentral:rRNA from 1 species
AUGGAGCAUGGCGAUGCUGCCACCGGCAGCGGCAGCCGCAGCGGUGCGGGAACGAGCAUCCAGGUCACGGCUCUGGACGGCAUCGUGAACGUGAACUCUCUCUUCACCCUCGCCGCGUUCCUCGGCUUGGCGUGGCGCCCCUCCUCCGACGGGCCCGGCCUCGCCGACGGCGCCGACCACCUGGGCGCCUGCGCCGCGGGGGACCGCAUCGAGUCUGACCUCGUCUCCUUUCACGUCCUCGCCUUCGCCUGUUUCCUCUUCUCCAGCCUCGUCGCGCUCUGCCUCAAGCAGAUCGUCCGCACCUUCCCCCACUACCGCCGUGCCUCCUCCGCCGCCGCCGGAGCCGCCGUCAGCUGGACGGUGAAGAUCAACCGGGCAGCGCUCCGGGUCGGGAUCUUGGCGUCCGCGGUGGGAUCCGUGUGCGGGUGCGGGUUCCUGACGAUGGCCCUCGUCAACGUGGUGCAGGUGAAGCUCGGCCGGCUCGGCUGCGGCGCCGGCGGCUCCGCUGCAUGGGGCGCCGUCAUCCCGCUCGUCACGCUCGUGCCUUCCGCCAUGCUGAUCUACAUUGGCAUAGUCUUCUACGCCUUCACCCGCUAG